rfam:Eubacterium coprostanoligenes strain ATCC 51222 genome assembly, contig: EI64DRAFT_scaffold00015.15
AGAGUUGUCCAGACGGUUGCGUAGUCUUUGACUAUGAGGAAAGUCCGAGCAGCACAGAGCAGGAUAACGGCUAACGGCCGCCGAGGGUGACCUUAGGGAAAGUGCAACAGAAAUAAACCGCCGUCUUUACGGUAAGGGUGGAAAGGCGAGGUAAGAGCUCACCGAGAGAGUGGAGACAUUCUCUGCCAUGUAAACCCUAUCCGCUGCAACACCGACCGGAGAGUUGGUUGCUCGCCACAUAACUCCGACGGGUGGCUUGAGCAAGGUGGCAACAUCUUGUCGAGAUAGAUAAUCGUCCACGACAGAACUCGGCUUACGGACAACUCUGCUA